GAUGAACGCUGGCUACAGGCUUAACACAUGCAAGUCGAGGGGAAACGGCAUUGAGUGCUUGCACUGAAUGGACGUCGACCGGCGCACGGGUGAGUAACGCGUAUCCAACCUUCCCGUUACUGCGGGAUAACCUGCCGAAAGGCAGACUAAUACCGCAUGUUCUUCGAUGACGGCAUCAGAUUCGAAGCAAAGAUUCUUCGGUAACGGAGGGGGAUGCGUCUGAUUAGCUAGCUGGCGGGGCGACGGCCCACCAAGGCGACGAUCAGUAGGGGUUCUGAGAGGUAGGUCCCCCACAUUGGAACUGAGACACGGUCCAAACUCCUACGGGAGGCAGCAGUGAGGAAUAUUGGUCAAUGGGCGGAAGCCUGAACCAGCCAAGUAGCGUGCAGGAGGACGGCCCUACGGGUUGUAAACUGCUUUUAUGCGGGGAUAAAGUGAGGGACGCGUCCCUUUUUGCAGGUACCGCAUGAAUAAGGACCGGCUAAUUCCGUGCCAGCAGCCGCGGUAAUACGGAAGGUCCGGGCGUUAUCCGGAUUUAUUGGGUUUAAAGGGAGCGUAGGCCGGGGAUUAAGUGUGUUGUGAAAUGUAGGCGCCCAACGUCUGACUUGCAGCGCAUACUGGUUCCCUUGAGUACGCGCAACGCCGGCGGAAUUCGUCGUGUAGCGGUGAAAUGCUUAGAUAUGACGAAGAACCCCGAUUGCGAAGGCAGCCGGCGGGAGCGCAACUGACGCUGAAGCUCGAAGGUGCGGGUAUCGAACAGGAUUAGAUACCCUGGUAGUCCGCACGGUAAACGAUGGAUGCCCGCUGUCGGCGCCUUGCGCCGGCGGCCAAGCGAAAGCGUUAAGCAUCCCACCUGGGGAGUACGCCGGCAACGGUGAAACUCAAAGGAAUUGACGGGGGCCCGCACAAGCGGAGGAACAUGUGGUUUAAUUCGAUGAUACGCGAGGAACCUUACUCGGGCUUGAAUCGCAGGAGAACGAUACAGAGAUGUUGAGGUCCCUCGGGACUCCGUGAAGGUGCUGCAUGGUUGUCGUCAGCUCGUGCCGUGAGGUGUCGGCCUAAGUGCCAUAACGAGCGCAACCCCUCUCCCCAGUUGCCAUCGGGUGAUGCCCGGGCACCUCCGGGGACACUGCCGCCGCAAGGGUGCAACGAAGGCGGGGAAUACUUCAAUUCACCACGG
rnacentral:rRNA from 1 species